rnacentral:rRNA from 1 species
AUGUCUAAGCGGCAGCGGGGACAGGAGAAGCAGGCGAACUGCGCCUGCAAAAGGUCACGGCCUGAACCUGAUCGGAAGCACCUCUAUCUGGUACUCGAUGACUGGGAAGAUGGGUUCAGCAUCCACAAGAUUGACGCCGCCGACGAUGACGCGGACCUUGGCCAGCCACCCGUCCUCCGGUUGGUGUCGCCGGCACCUGCUUAUCCAAUGCGCUUUGCGGUCCUGGGCAGCAACAUCGUCAUCGUCACCGACCCAUAUUGUGGUCAGGCUCCCACACUUGUCUAUGACACGAAAAGAACAGGACUCGCCGUCGGCCCUCCACUCCCCGGUCCACUGGUAGGUGAUUUCCACGCCUCCGUGGCCACUGCGGAGAUGCUGUAUGCGCUGAGUUUUUGCCAGUGGGGUCAGCAGCACUCCUUUGAGGUGAUGUCUCGGGCUCCUCCAAGUCCUCGUACCAUGGGCUGGUCAUGGAGAAGCGUGCCCUCGCCGCCGCCGUUCGAGGAGGAUGAAUGGAUCACCUCCUACGCCGUGCACCCGGAUGGACACACCAUCUUCAUGUCUGUGCUCAACAAUCACAAUAUGAAACGCCGUACCUUCUCCUUCGACACCGGGCACGUCGAGUGGAGGUUCCAUGGGGAACGGGCCUUGCCUUUCCAAGGCCAGGGCUACUAUGACAGCACGCUGGACGCAUGGGUUGGCCUUCGCGAGGAUGGCUACGUCUGCGCCUGCCAGGUCGCGCCCCGCAGCGGCGCCAUGCGGCCGGAGUGGAAGAUCGUCAAGGAGAAGAUGUUCCACAAGGUCCCGGAGAGGAAGCAGGCUGCGUCGUAUGCCACUCUCACGUACAUGGGCAACGCCAGGUUUUGCCUUAUGGAGUCCGUUGUACGUGAGGAAGUGGAGUAUGAGGAUGCCUUUGGUGAUUGUGAUGGCUGCAUGCUCCAUAUGACCAGGUUUGGCCUCAGGUACAGUCAUAAGGGAGAGCUGCAGACGACCAUCGAUUUUACCACCAGCUCUUAUCCAUUGUCGAAGCAUUUCACAGAUUUUUCUCCUGUAGCGUUCUGGAUGUAG